GGGAAUUACCAGAUAUCUAAGUCAGCUUGAAAAACGCCAGCCACAGCAAAGUCUUGUUUUCGUUAUGUGUGAAUGAAAUACAUAAAAUUAUUGAUACUUUGUAUUCAAUUUAGCAAAUUCAGAUUGAUAUCUGAAGAUUGGUGAAAAUGUCACAGCUUGGAAUUUUAUAGGAAUAAAUAGAAAUUAUGAGUUUCCAAAUUAUUAGCAUCACGGAAAAUGAAAGUAUGUUUUCACUAGAAAGAGCCCACGCUGUUGAUACAGGAAACCCAGAGCUGAUGCUUGACUCCAUCGUUCAGUAGUUACUUAGAGUAAGUUAGCUUACUUUCAUGAGCCUCACUUUGCUCAUGUGCAAUAAGGGCUGAACAGUAAUUCUGCUGCCUAUCUCAAAGAGUUGCUAGAUGAACAAAGUACUUUGAAUAUGAAAGCAUUUUACAUAGUACAAUGUAUUGUAAAUAAAGUGAAUGAUUCAUAUGUAAAUAGUAAAUUGACUUAUGUCAAGGUCAUAAAUUUGUUUGCCAAAAGUUAGGGAAACGGUGCCGUGAUACGCUUUCUGUGAAUGUUAAUUCAGUAUUAAUAACUUCAUAGAAUACAUUUUCUUUGUAGAGAGGUGGAUUACGUAAUCAAAUAAUAAAUACUUGGGAAAAGAUGAAUAUAUUUAUACAGAUAGGCUUAUUUUGCUUUUAUAAAUUUUGAAGGAUAAGAUCUUGAGGAGCUUAUUUUCAUAACAUUUUUUUAUGCAGAAACAUCUGCAGAAAUUUGAAUGUACAAUCAUCGAAGUAACAUUUUAGUGCAAAUGGAUUAGGUGCAUAUUCAGAGUAUAGAUGGUUAUUUGAAAGGCUGAUGUUACACUCAAAUAUAAGCAGGUGCACAUAUUUGAAUGAUCAUGACUUCCAUAUUCAGUGAUUUCAAUAUAAAAUCAUUUUAAGGAGUACAGAUCCAGUUUCCUCUAUUCCCACUGCUUAUUUGAUCUCACUUAAAUAUUGCAAACGAUUCUUUAAUGUUUAAGUAAACAAUUUGCCUCUAACUUUAGAGUGUUUCAUUAGAUUAGCAGAAGACUGAGCAGCAGCCCUGUAUAAUAUUCUAUGUGGUUAAACUGCCCCAUAUUCUCCAAAUCACCUAAUAAACUUUGCUCAAAAAUCAUCAUUGAGGUACCAAAGAAAAAAUACUGUAAAGCUGCCUUCUAAUCAUUCCAUCUUACAGUAUGGCAAUACCUAUGAAGAAACCAAAUGAUGAACCAAACUUAAAAAGUGCCCAGAGAGAAGGCUGACUAAAUUAAAAACUCAUUAACUCUGUGGUACUGAUUUCUUAAGUAAUAACAUUUCUGAAAUAGCAUAAAGAACUGGAUAUAACUAGUGAAUUAUAAGGAAGAUUAUAAUAUAUUGAUUUAAAUAAAGUAUGUUAUUAUACACAUUUAAAAUCUGAUGUUUUGCAUUCAUUUCUACCUAUAAAUAUGUGUAGACCAUAGUCCCAGUAGGAACAGAUACGAGGAAAAUUAGCCAAAUGAGGUAGUAUUUUACUAAUUAUAGGAUGGAGAGUAUAUGACAGUUUCUUUUUUUGCUAUAUUCACUAAGUACAUAAUUAUUAUGCUUAUAUUCUUGCCACAUAUGGUGGAUAUUAAGCAAGGGAUUAAAACAAAGUAAGAUGAGCAUUCUUAAAAAACAAUUAUAAGUUCAAAAUGAAAAUGUUACAGUUAAAUCUAACCUAAUUCAUGGGUGAAGAAAGAUAUGCCUGAAAAUUGAUCUUUAAGUCAAGUACUGAUGGAUAGAUAGGAGCCAGCAAAGACAUUCUGAAAACGAUGUUAGAGAUGGGGUGUCCCUGGUAAGGGCAAUAGCAUAGAGAAAAGCACAGAGGCAAAGCUACUUCCAGAUACAUGCCAGGAACUAUAGAAAACCGAAUAGAACUUGGACCUAGGGCAAAAUUGUUGAAAGAUGUGGCAGAAAUCAUCUACUCUGGGCAAGAUAACAUGCAAGAUAAGAGCCUAAGCAAACUAUGGACUAAUAUAGAUUUCUAUUAUGUGAACAGGUUUUCUUAUUUUUUUCCAAAGAAAGCUCAGUGUUGAAAAGUUCAUAGUGAGCUGAAAAGUUCACAGUAAAUGCAUGAUGAUUAAGUUAAUUUCUUCUCAGUUGCCCCUGACUACAGAAUAAGGGCAAAGUUUCUCAGCUGGGCUCCAGACCUCCAGAGCUGGCUCUCUGCCCAAUUUGGUGCAUCUAUCAAAAUUAUAAGCCUAGAUUCUGUAGGGUAUGAAAAUGCCACAGACCCAGUCGCUGCAAAUAGAGGUGCUAUAAAUGCUCCAUUUGUUGUCAGUAUUUUCUAUCAUCCAUCUCUGUAUUUUUCAUUGGAUCAUGUUCUUAUCUUGAGGGCACAGACCAUGUCUUAUUCCUCUUUAUAAGCAAUUCCAUACUAGGCACAGUGCCUGAAAACAGCAGGUGCUCAGUAAAUAUUUAUUGAAUGAAUGGCUACAUUUUUUUUUUAAGUUUGAAAAAUUCUUAUGAGUAAAUUCUAUCAGCGUAUUUUCUCAUGUAGAACAACUAUUGCUAAAGACACAUUAUGUUUAAUAUAUUCCAGAAAGUCACAAGCCCAUUUUAUAGUGAACUAAACUUCUGUUAUAUCAAGGAAUGCAUGCAAUAUCUGUUAUUUUUAAUGCCCAUAUUGGUUUAAACUGAGCCUUUCACCAUCUGUUCCAAAUCUUAAACUGUGGAUGCAAAAGAGCACAUUUCCCUAUUACAUUUGUAAAAUGUAAUAUAUAAAUUAUUUGAAUACAGUUAUACGCUCAUGAAGUAGUGCUGCAUGCAGCUGGUAUGGGACUCCCUUAUGUCACAAAAAGAAAUAAUAAAGAGCAAAGCCUGCUUAUCCUUGACGUAGAGAGUUUCACGCUGUAGGACUUUUUGUAAUGGCACUGGAAGGACGAGUCUUUGUUAUGGCACAAAAUUGGCUUUUCUCAGUAAUGAAUUUCAUUUAUAAACUAUAAUUUCUCCCACCUCCAUUUUGUUAAACUGUCUGUUUUUGAAUGCAUUUUAAUUUUUCUAAGAAAUUCACAAAAUUCUAUGAAGUCCUCAAAUAAUGAACAUUUGUAUCCCUACUGAAAUUCUGAGUGCACUUUGUGAGCCCUUUGUUGGUUUUACUGUGGGUUCUUUGCCUUGAUGUAUAAAGUCCCAGCAAAAGAAUUGUUUACUGAGACCAAUUAAAGUAUGGUCAUCCAUAUAAUCCUUGGCAAGAAAACAUUUUAAAAUUUAACUAACAUGCUUAUUUGACCCACCUACAUUGGGAAGUUACU
rnacentral:lncRNA from 1 species